rnacentral:rRNA from 1 species
AUUGAACGCUGGCGGCAUGCCUUACACAUGCAAGUCGAACGGUAACGGGCCUUCGGGUGCCGACGAGUGGCGAACGGGUGAGUAAUGUAUCGGAACGUACCUUUCAGUGGGGGAUAACGUAGCGAAAGUUACGCUAAUACCGCAUAUUCUGUGAGCAGGAAAGGAGGGGAUCGCAAGACCUUGCGCUGAUUGAGCGGCCGAUCUCAGAUUAGCUAGUUGGUGAGGUAAAGGCUCACCAAGGCGACGAUCUGUAGCGGGUCUGAGUGGAUGAUCCGCCACUCUGGAACGGAGACACGGUCCAGACUCAUACGGGAGGCAGCAGUGGGGAAUUUUGGACAAUGGGGGCAACCCUGAUCCAGCCAUGCCGCGUGAGUGAAGAAGGCCUUCGGGUUGUAAAGCUCUUUCGGCCGGGAAGAAAUCGUAUCAGCUAAUACCUGGUGCGGAUGACGGUACCGGCAUAAGAAGCACCGGCUAACUACGUGCCAGCCGCCGCCGUAACAC